AUUGAACGCUAGCGGGAUGCUUUACACAUGCAAGUCGCACGAGUGGCGGACGGGUGAGUAAUAUAUCGGAACGUGCCCAGUAGCGGGGGAUAACUACUCGAAAGAGUGGCUAAUACCGCAUACUAUUGGAGCGGCCGAUAUCGGAUUAGCUAGUUGGGGGGGUAAAGGCUCACCAAGGCAACGAUCCGUAGCUGGUUUGAGAGGAAUACCAUCCCCCCGGGGACUGAGACACGGCCCAGACUCCACCUACAAUCAGCAAUUCAAAAUUUUUUACAAUGAAGGAAACCCUGAUCCAGCCAUCCCGCGUGUAUGAGAAAUCCUUCGGGUUUUAACGUACUUUUGGCAGAGAAGCGGUAUCUACAGAAUAAGCACCGGCUAACUACGUGCCAGCAGCCGCGGUAAUUC
rnacentral:rRNA from 1 species